rnacentral:rRNA from 1 species
AACGCGAAGAACCUUACCUACCCUUGACAUGGUCGGAACCCUGCUGAAAGGUGGGGGUGCUCGAAAGAGAACCGGCGCACAGGUGCUGCAUGGCUGUCGUCAGCUCGUGUCGUGAGAUGUUGGGUUAAGUCCCGCAACGAGCGCAACCCUUGUCCUUAGUUGCUACGCAAGAGCACUCUAGGGAGACUGCCGGUGACAAACCGGAGGAAGGUGGGGAUGACGUCAAGUCCUCAUGGCCCUUAUGGGUAGGGCUUCACACGUCACACAAUGGUCGGAACAGAGGGUUGCCAAGCCGCGAGGCGGAGCCAAUCCCAGAAAACCGAUCGUAGUCCGGAUCGCAGUCUGCAACUCGACUGCGUGAAGCUGGAAUCGCUAGUAAUCGCGGAUCAGCAUGCCGCGGUGAAUACGUUCCC